rnacentral:lncRNA from 1 species
GCAUAUUCUGUUCCACUUAUAAAUGAUCUUCAUUUUUCUGGUUUGUGUCUGCUAAACCUUUUCCGGUUCAUAUUUUCUCAACCUUGUGUAUUCUGUACGGUGGGCGUGUGACCUUAGAUCUGCUCAGUAAUGUAAUUCAAUGUGUUGUGCAGGAUGAUUAUUUGUCAUAAUUUGACGCUGGAGGUUUUGACUUUGCACAAAGUUUUACUCCAUUGGUGCUGAUUACAAGAACUUGGUGUAAAGUUUGAUAUCUAAUAAUGGAUAGAAAGGAUACGUCAGGAUUCGUAAGCGGGGGUGGGAUGUGCUCUUUUUGACACAUCUAACCCUAGUUUAGCCUCUAAUCAAUUCUUAGCCCGGAAAUUAGCCUCUAACUAAUUCUUAGCCCGGAAGUCAGGCCGACUGUUCUUUUGCAAUUGAGGUUUGGUUCAAUAGUACUGUUGCAUCCU